GGGAUUGCAGUGGCAAAGCUAGGCUAGGUCUUGGAGGCUGGUGUAAGGCGAAGCGGGUGAAGGCAGGAGGCUGAUGGAGAGACUGGGGGGAAGAAAAGCCGAAAUGGAUUCACGGUGCCUUGGAUGGAGGACGAGAGGGGAACUGCAAGCUCCUUCAACUCGUUCUGUCCGGUGAGAAGUGAUCAAGCUUGGGCUGACAAGAGGCUCAGGAAGCCCUCACGUUCUUUCGCUUUUUUACCUGCCAAUCAAACUGCUACAAGACAACACCCUGAUCUGGCAUGGACAUCGCGGGUCCAAGCCUGUAGUCCCAAAUCGGAUAUCUCUGCAGCUGAUAACGAGCAAAAGAGAAGCCAGGCAACAGCCAUAUUAAAGAAGAAAACAGUCAACUCUGAGGAUGCCACCCUGAAAGUUUUAUUUUCUCCAGGAAGGUACAGUUGUCUUUGA
rnacentral:lncRNA from 1 species